UGCAUUCGUCGCUGCGUUCGUGCCUGUUAUGUGCGCUGCAACCUCGCCUUUGAAAGGACGACAACCUUGCUUUUUAAUUACAAGUUUAAUGUUUGCUUAAGACGAUGGACACAUUGCAAAUGGCGGCAGGGGUGGAUCGGCUACAUCGGUGAAGCGACGAUUUAUAUUACAAGCGAGGCUAAUUGUAUUCUGUCGUUAUAGGUGAACGUGGGACUGUAUCGACUGCAAGGACGUGAGUUACAAAAAGCUGUAAUAUUCUAGCAUUAACGUUUGAACAAUACCAGCGUGAUGUUCACUUCGGUUUCUUUACAGGUAGUGUCCUGUCUCAACCGAAAUUGCAAAAUUCCCAUAUCGGACCCCCCUCCUGGGAACAAGGCUAACCGGAAGUCGCGCGUCGCUAGUAAUAAAUUGCGCUGUAAUGUGCAAAUUCUGUAGUGAGGUUAGGUUAGGUUAGGUCAGUACAUUUUACACGCGCGGGGGGGGGGGGUCCGGGGGGGGGUUCCCCCCCGCAGUUGUUCGAGACUGUGCUCACUUCCGUCUAAGCCUCGUUCCCAGGGUUAGAUCGGAGGGGGUCCAAUGUGGGAUUUCUGGCUCACUCGCUGUCUCAACGGUCACGCAUAUGCGUGCAAAACUGCAACUGCUUCUCACAUCGAAGAGGGGUCUGGUGCCACAUGCUCGGACAAUUAUUCGUCGGCCAUUUCGUUUGAGGAACUGUCGUGUUCGUCAAGGAUGACCUUGGUUGAGCUUUGCAGUGCCAGCCUGGUGCAUCGGAGGGGUUGUGCCCAUGCAACGUGUGCUCCAUAUGUGUGAGUUGGGAUUAGUGAACCGUGUAUGCUUUCCAUUCGGCCAACGAUGAUGUACUGGAUGAAAUUUAAAGGUGCAUUUCCCAAAUGCUGCAGUGGCUGUGCAUUUGGUGCUCGUGGAAAUUUCUUGUGUCCACAGUAAUUAGCAGAGAGGCACUCCCCUGAAUUAUGUAUGAGUAAUUCAACUCCUCAUUUAUUGGACUGCGUACAUGUGCAUAGAUUCACAGUUUCGGGCUGCUGGCAUUUGUGAGAACUAUAGCAUCUAUCUCUCAAGUAGCACACGUAUUACUUGACAGAUAAACAACACCUUUUUGAAGGGUGUAAUAUUACCAGGGGUGUUAAAUUACACCCUAAAGGGAGUGAGUUAUAGCACUUUUGGAUUACACCCUAAAGGGUGUUUUUGAAGUAGCAAAUUACACCCUUUUUUGAGGUUGUAGCCGGUGGAAAAGGGUGUAAUAUUACACCCUAAAGGGAGUGAGUUAUCGCACUUUGGGAUUACACCCUUAUUACACCCUAAAGGGUGUAAAAAAAUUAAGAGU